AUGUGUAAGUGUGAACAAAUUCAGACUGUUAAAUUGUGAAUGGCUCAUUAAAUCAGUUAUAGUUUGUUUGAUGGUAUUUACUACUCGGAUAACCGCGUGCCGGUCGAGGAACGGACUGCGAAUAGAUCCUUUGGGGACCUUCCCCACUCGUCGAACAACCAACUUAGACCUUGUACGGACAAGGGGAAUCCGACUGUUUAAUUAAAACAAAAUAUUGCGAUGGUCCCAAUGGAUGUUCACACAUUGUGAUUUCUGCCCAGUGCUCUGGAUGUCAAAGCGAUGAAAUUCAACCAAGCAUGGGUAAAUGGCGGGAGUAACUAUGACUCUCUUAAGGUAGCCAAAUGCCUCGUCAUCUACAUAGUGAUGUGCAUGAAUGGAUUAACGUGAUUCCCACUAUCCCUGUCUACUAUCCAGCGAAACCACAGCCCAGGGAACGGGCUUGGAAGAAUUAAUGGGGAAAGAAGACCCUCUUGAGCUUGACUCUACUUCGACUUUGUGAAAUGACUUUAGGGGUGUAGUAUAAGUGGGAGACAAAAGCCGAAAGUGAAAUACCACUGCUUUUCACAUUAUUUUACUUAUUCCGUGAAUCGGAAGCGGGGUGAUGCCCCUUUUUUGAGACCCAAGGCUCGCUCUUUGGGCCGAUCCAGGUGGAAGACAUUGUCAGGUGGGGAGUUUGGCUGGGGCGGCACAUCUUUUAAAAGAUAACGAAGCUGUGAUAAGAUGAGAUCAAAGAGAACAGAAAUAUUGUAUGGAACAGAAGGGUAAAAGCUCGUUUGAUUCUGAUUUCUAGUACGAAUACGAACCAUGAAAGCGUCGCCUAAUGAUCCUUUAGACCUUCGAAAUUUGAAGCUAGAGGUGUCAAAAAAGUGUUACCACAGGGAUAACUGGUCUGUUUCAGCCAAGCGUUCAUAGCGACGUUGCUUGUUCAUCCUUUGAUGUCGGCUCGUCCUAUCAUUGUGAAGCAAAAUUCACCAAGUGUUGGAAUGUUCACCAACCAAUAGAGAACAUGAGCUGGGUUUAGACCGUCGUGAGACAGGUUAGUUUUACCCUACUUGUGACAGUGUCGCAGUAGUAAUUCAACCUAGUGCGAGAGAAAAUAUUGAUUCACCUAAUUUGUAAUCGCGCUUGGUUGAAAAGCCAGUGGUGCAAAGCUACCAUGUGCGAGAUUAUGACUGAACGCCUCUAAGUCAGAAUCCGAGCUAGAAGCGACGCAUGCGUCCGCUGUUCGCUUGCCGACCUGCAGUAGGGGCCUUGGCCCCCAAGGGCACAAGUCAUUUGCUAAGCCACCACGGCGGAAGAAUCACGGUGGCCGCCUUGAUGUUUAAUUUCCAUCGAGCGGCGGGUAGAAUCCUUUGCAGAAGACUUAAAUAUGCGACAAGGUAUUGUAAGUGGAAGACUGGCCUUGCUGCCACAAUCCAUUGACAUUCAUCCCUUUGUUGCUUUGGUUC
rnacentral:ncRNA from 1 species